GUCUACAGCCAUGCUACCCUGAACGAGCCUGAUCCCAUCUGAUCUCGGAAGCUAAGCAGGGUCGGGCCUGGUUAGUACUUGGAUGGGAGA
rnacentral:rRNA from 1 species